rnacentral:rRNA from 1 species
AAACUUGAGAGUUUGAUCAUGGCUCAGAACGUACGCUGGCGGCACGCCUAACACAUGCAAGUCGAACGAAGUAGCAAUACUUAGUGGCAGACGGGUGAGUAACAUGUAGGUAUCUUCCCUUUGGCCUGGAAUAACACGAGGAAACUUGUGCUAAUACCGGAUAAGUCUUUACGGAGAAAGCUUUAUGCACCAUUGGAUGAGCCUGCACUUGAUUAGUUUGUUGGUAGGGUAAUGGCCUACCAAGACUUUGAUCAAUAGCUGAUUUGAGAGGAUGAUCAGCCACAUUGGGACUGAGACACGGCCCAAACUCCUACGGGAGGCAGCAGUGGGGAAUCUUGCACAAUGGAGGAAACUCUGAUGCAGCGAUGCCGCGUGAGUGAAGAAGGCCCUUGGGUUGUAAAGCUCUUUCGUCGGGGAAGAAAAUGACUGUACCCGAAUAAGAAGGUCCGGCUAACUUCGUGCCAGCAGCCGCGGUAAUACGAAGGGACCUAGCGUAGUUCGGAAUUACUGGGCUUAAAGAGUUCGUAGGUGGUUGAAAAAGUUGGUGGUGAAAUCCCAGAGCUUAACUCUGGAACUGCCAUCAAAACUUUUCAGCUAGAGUUUGAUAGAGGAAAGCAGAAUUUCUAGUGUAGAGGUGAAAUUCGUAGAUAUUAGAAAGAAUACCAAUUGCGAAGGCAGCUUUCUGGAUCAUUACUGACACUGAGGAACGAAAGCAUGGGUAGCGAAGAGGAUUAGAUACCCUCGUAGUCCAUGCCGUAAACGAUGUGUGUUAGACGUUGGAAAUUUAUUUUCAGUGUCGCAGCGAAAGCGAUAAACACACCGCCUGGGGAGUACGACCGCAAGGUUAAAACUCAAAUGAAUUGACGGGGACCCGCACAAGUAGUGGAGCAUGUGGUUUAAUUCGAAGAUACGCGCAGAACCUUACCAACACUUGACAUGUUCGUCGCGACUUUAAGAGAUUAAAGUUUUCGGUUCGGCCGGACGAAACACAGGUGCUGCAUGGCUGUCGUCAGCUCGUGUCGUGAGAUGUUGGGUUAAGUCCCGCAACGAGCGCAACCCUCACUUUUAGUUGCCAUCAUUUAGUUGGGCACUCUGAAAGAACUGCCAGUGAUAAGCUGGAGGAAGGUGGGGAUGACGUCAAGUCCUCAUGGCCCUUACGUGUUGGGCUACACACGUGCUACAAUGGUAUCUACAACAGGAAGCAAAACGGCAACGUUAAGCAAAUCCUUAAAAGAUACCUCAGUUCGGAUUGCACUCUGCAACUCGAGUGCAUGAAGCUGGAAUUACUAGUAAUCGUGGAUCAGCGUGCCACGGUGAAUGCGUUCCCGGGUCUUGUACACACCGCCCGUCACACCAUGGGAGUUGGUUCUACCUUAAGGCAAGGUUUUAUACCCUUGACCACGGUAUAGUCAGCGACUGGGGUGAAGUCGUAACAAGGUAGCCGUAGGGGAACCUGCGGCUGGAUUACCUCCUUU